rnacentral:rRNA from 1 species
UACGGAGGAUGCGCGCGUUAUCCGGAUUUAUUGGGUUUAAAGGGUGCGUAGGCGGAAUAUCAAGUCAGCGGUAAAAAUUCGGGGCUCAACCCCGUCGUGCCGUUGAAACCGGAGCGCUAGAAUUCCGAUGCCGUCGGAGGAAUGUGUGGUGUAGCGGUGAAAUGCAUAGAUAUCACACAGAACACCGAUUGCGAAGGCAUCUGACGAAUCGGAGAUUGACGCUGAUGCACGAAGGCCAGGGGAGCGAAAGGG